rnacentral:rRNA from 1 species
AGCGAACGCUGGCGGCAGGCCUAACACAUGCAAGUCGAACGAACUCUUCGGAUUUAGUGGCGGACGGGUGAGUAACACGUGGGAACGUGCCUUUAGGUUCGGAAUAACUCAGGGAAACUUGUGCUAAUACCGAAUGUGCCCUUCGGGGGAAAGAUUUAUCGCCUUUAGAGCGGCCCGCGUCUGAUUAGCUAGUUGGUGAGGUAAAGGCUCACCAAGGCGACGAUCAGUAGCUGUCUGAGAGGAUGAUCAGCCACAUUGGGACUGAGACACGGCCCAAACUCCUACGGGAGGCAGCAGUGGGGAAUCUUGCGCAAUGGGCGAAAGCCUGACGCAGCCAUGCCGCGUGAAUGAUGAAGGUCUUAGGAUUGUAAAAUUCUUUCACCGGGGACGAUAAUGACGGUACCCGGAGAAGAAGCCCCGGCUAACUUCGUGCCAGCAGCCGCGGUAA